AUAGAGACUCAGAGCUGCAUAUCAAUAAGCGGAGGAAAAGAAACUAACAAGGAUUCCCUUAGUAACGGCGAGUGAAGCGGGAAGAGCUCAAAUUUGAAAUCUUCAAGGUUCUACCUUGACGAAUUGUAGUUUAAAGAAGUGUUUUCUGUUAGUGGAGUGGCAAAAGUUCUUUGGAAUAGGACAUCAUAGAGGGUGAGAAUCCCGUAUUUGGUCAUUCCUUCUAGUUUUGUGAUACACUUUCAAAGAGUCGGAUUGUUUGGGAAUGCAGUCCAAAAUGGGUGGUAAAUUUCAUCUAAAGCUAAAUAUUGGCGAGAGACCGAUAGCGAACAAGUACCGUGAGGGAAAGAUGAAAAGAACUUUGAAAAGAGAGUUAAGCAGUACGUGAAAUUGUCAAAAGGGAAGCGUUUGACACCAGUGUUGUUUUUCCGAAAAUCAAUUGACGAAUGUUUUAUUUUUGAAGGAGUUAUGACUUCAUCGGCUUGCUUCUUUCUUUAUCGAAACUUUCUUAAUGCACUUUUCGGUUAACAAGUCAACAUCAAUUUCUUUUGUUGUAAAAGAGGUCAUUGAGGAAGGUGGCUUUCAUUUUCGGAUGAAAGUGUUUAUAGCCUUUGUACUUCUGCAAUCGGAGAGAUUGAGGUCUGCAGCGUAGAUCCUUCGGGGUUAGAUACAUUUGUGCUAAGUUAUAGCCUUUUCAUAGACAACUUGUUGACUAUGAUUCAGUCAUGUAGCUUACUCGCUUAUGUCUAUUUUACCUACGCUUAGGAUGUUGAUAUGCAUGACUGAUAU
rnacentral:rRNA from 1 species